rnacentral:rRNA from 1 species
AAAUUGAAGAGUUUGAUCAUGGCUCAGAUUGAACGCUGGCGGCAGGCCUAACACAUGCAAGUCGAACGGUAACAGGAAGCAGCUUGCUGCUUCGCUGACGAGUGGCGGACGGGUGAGUAAUGUCUGGGAAACUGCCUGAUGGAGGGGGAUAACUACUGGAAACGGUGGCUAAUACCGCAUAAUGUCGCAAGACCAAAGAGGGGGACCUUCGGGCCUCUUGCCAUCAGAUGUGCCCAGAUGGGAUUAGCUUGUUGGUGAGGUAACGGCUCACC